rnacentral:rRNA from 1 species
CUUCGGGUUCUGCCGUGGAAUGAGCACAAUUUAAAUCCCUUAGCGAGGAUCAAUUGGAGGGCAAGUCUGGUGCCAGCAGCCGCGGUAAUUCCAGCUCCAAUAGCGUAUAUUAAAGUUGUUGCAGUUAAAAAGCUCGUAGUUGGAUUUCUUUUAUGUUAAGAGGGUUUGGGAUUGUGUGCAUCUUUUUGGUGUAUACGUCCUUCCUCUUUCAUGAAACAUUUGUAUGUUGUUUCAACAUACAUCAUUUACUGUGAAAAAAUCAAAGCGUUCAAAGCAGGCUUUAUGCAAUGAAUGUCUCAGCAUGGAAUAAUAAUUUAAGCCAUCGUCUUAUUUUGUUGGUUUACAAGAUGAAGGAAUGUUUAAUAGGAUCAGUCGGGGAUAUCCGAACUUAGAAGUCAGAGGUGAAAUUCUUGGAUUUUCUAAAGUCGAACUACUGCGAAAGCAUUUAUCAAGGAUGUUUUCAUUAAUCAAGAACGAAAGUUUGGGGAUCGAAGAUGAUUAGAUACCAUCGUAGUCUAAACCAUAAACUAUGCCGAUUCGGGAUCGUCUUAUGAUAAUAAAUGUCAAAGGCGGCACCGUACGCGAAAGCAAAAUCUUUGGGUUCUGGGGGGAGUAUGAUCGCAAGGUUGAAACUUAAAGGAAUUGACGGAAGGGCACCAUCAGGCGUGGAGCCUGCGGCUCAAUUUGACCCAACUCGGGAAAACUUAGCACGGCAGGACAAAAUAAGGAUUGACAGAUUGAGAGCUCUUUCUUGAUUCUUUGGGUGGUGGUGCAUGGCCGUUCUUAGUUGGUGGAGUGAUUUGUCUGGUUAAUUCCGUUAACGAACGAGACCUCAACCUAUUAAAUAGUAUAACCAUUCUUACGGAUGGGGAUUACUUCUUAGAGGGACUUUUCGAUUUUAUCGGAAGGAAGUUUGAGGCAAUAACAGGUCUGUGAUGCCCUUAGAUGUCCUGCGCCGCACGCGCGCUACAAUGACCAGUUCAAUCGGUAAUUCCUUGGUCGAGAGGCCUGGGUAAUCCUAGAACUCUGGUCGUGAUGGGGCUAGAUUUUUGCAAUUAUUAAUCUUCAACGAGGAAUGCCUAGUAAACGCAAGUCAUCAUCUUGCAUUGAAUACAUCCCUGCCCUUUGUACACACCGCCCGUCGCAUCUACCGAUGAAUUUUGCGGUGAAGUCUUGGGA